rnacentral:rRNA from 1 species
AUUGAACGCUGGCGGAAUGCUUUACACAUGCAAGUCGAACGGCAGCACGGACUUCGGUCUGGUGGCGAGUGGCGAACGGGUGAGUAAUACAUCGGAACGUGCCCGGUCGUGGGGGAUAACGUAGCGAAAGCUACGCUAAUACCGCAUACGAUCUACGGAUGAAAGCGGGGGAUCGCAAGACCUCGCGCGAUUGGCGGCGCCGAUGGCAGAUUAGGUAGGUGGUGGGGUAAAGGCUCACCAAGCCGACGAUCUGUAGCUGGUCUGAGAGGACGACCAGCCACACUGGGACUGAGACACGGCCCAGACUCCUACGGGAGGCAGCAGUGGGGAAUUUUGGACAAUGGGCGCAAGCCUGAUCCAGCCAUUCCGCGUGCAGGAUGAAGGCCCUCGGGUUGUAAACUGCUUUUGUACGGAACGAAAAGGCUCUGGUUAAUACCUGGGGCUCAUGACGGUACCGUAAGAAUAAGCACCGGCUAACUACGUGCCAGCCGCCGCCGUAA